UACGUAGGGUGCGAGCGUUAAUCGGAAUUACUGGGCGUAAAGCGUGCGCAGGCGGUUUUGUAAGCCAGAUGUGAAAGCCCCGGGCUCAACCUGGGAAUGGCAUUUGGGACUGCAAGGCUUGAGUGCGGCAGAGGAGACUGGAAUUCCUGGUGUAGCAGUGAAAUGCGUAGAUAUCAGGAGGAACACCGGUGGCGAAGGCGGCGACCUGGGUAGAUACUGACGCUGAGGUGCGAAAGCGUGGGGAGCAAACAGG
rnacentral:rRNA from 1 species